UACGGAGGGUGCAAGCGUUAUCCGGAUUCACUGGGUUUAAAGGGUGUGUAGGCGGGCUGUUAAGUCAGAGGUGAAAUCUCCGGGCUCAACCCGGAAACUGCCUUUGAUACUAUCAGUCUUGAAUCUUGUUGAGGUAGGCGGAAUAUGUCAUGUAGCGGUGAAAUGCUUAGAUAUGACAUAGAACACCGAUUGCGAAGGCAGCUUACUAAACAAGCAUUGACGCUGAGGCACGAAAGCGUGGGGAUCAAACAGG
rnacentral:rRNA from 1 species